rnacentral:lncRNA from 1 species
CGUUUUCAUUUUGAAAUACAAAAUUAAUGUUGUAAUUUUAAAUUCAAUUUAAAUAUUUGUUUACAAAAAAUAUUGCAAUUAAUGAUACAUUUUAUAUAAUUUAUAAUUUACUAUAUAAAAUUAGUUAAAUUUUAUUUUUAAAAUACCUCAAAUAAUAAUAAUAAUAAUACCCUUUUCGUUGCAAAAAAAAUACCAUCAGAUGAAAACCAAAGCAAAGCAAAGCUAGAAAUGAAAAAAGCAAUCAUUCAAUCACAUAUCACAUAUCAAACAGAACAGGGGUAUCAACAGAACAACAAACCCAGAUCAUAUGCUGAAGAAGCUUCAAAAGAACAUACCAAAGCAACCAUUCUUGAAAACCUCGAUAUACAUCACAAUGAAAAAAAAAAUCAUAAAUUUCAAUCACAUAUGAAACCCAAAUCUUAACUUUAUUUGUUAAUCACUCAAUUCUCUCACUUUCUUAUUCAAUCACAAAUCAAACCCAGUUUCAAAAUAUAUCUCAAAUCCAUAAAUCCAAUCAAUUUCCAAAUCAGUUCAAAAAAAGGAUUAAAAUAAAUAAUAUUAGAAUUACCCCCUUCAUCUUCAAAGAUUACUAGAAGAAAUUAAAUUGACUUUUUUUAAAAGAGUAACCCAGAUCUGAUUCGGAGAAAACAGAGAAAUAGACAUUAUUACAAUUCCUUCUUACUCUCAAUUUCCCAUACCCAGACCCAGACAUUAUGUCCAAGUCGUCGAUGAAGACGAUCAAGUCGGAAGAAUUCUAUCUCCAAACUAUUCGAUCCGAUUCAAAUUCACACCAUUAGACAAGAUAAGCUCGCUGAUUAUACUUCCGUCUUUCUCGACCGUCGCAACAAUCCACCCCGCGAGACUAUGCUUCUCCUCGCCGUUCGUCUCAACGAUGCUUUUGCCGCCAACAUUCUCGUCGUGAAUGAUGGAGACGAGGAGUUCUAUUUGACUCUGGAUGAUGGAGGCGAUGGAAAUUUAUUUUUCGUUGACCAUGGCUGAUGAAUAGAUUAAAGAUUGAAAAGGAAGGGAAUAUAUGAAUCAACUGGGUCAUGAUUUGUGAUUCAGGUUUGGAUUUGGUACUUGGUUCGAGUAUUGGGUUUGGAUUUUAAUAUGGGCAAAGGUGUAAAAUUUAUGCCUCGUCAACAAAAAAAUGUCUAGGUGUAAGGGGAGUUAGCCUAGGUGGCAUGUCCGUUAGAG